ensembl:lncRNA RPL23AP7 ribosomal protein L23a pseudogene 7
GGGAGGGCCGCAGGGAGUGCGCAUGCGGCCGAGUGCGGGACUGGGGCUCCUGGCUGUGGGUGUGGUACCGAGGCUUCAGCGGGUGCCGCCCGCCUAGAGGGAGUGGAGCGAGAGCCUACGACUAGAUUUGCAUCUUUACGUCCUGCGCGGAGGCUGCUACACACAUGCAGAAGUCAUGCUGGUGGCCUGGACAGUGAAGGGAGAGAAGUGGAUUUGGGAGACAUUUAGGAGGAACAGUAAGAGGACCUUGUGCAUGAAUAAUUUGUUUCCACACUACAGAGUGGGUAAUAAGCAGAUUAGUAAAAACAAUUCUGCUUCACUUCAAUAACAGCCUCCUCCAACUCAUUUUUUCUCAACAAACUUAUUUUUCCAGCAGAAGAAUCCCAGACUUCUUAGAGAACCCAGUGACUUUUUGCACCUUAAAUCUGUGAAAUCCUCAUGUUUUCUUCUGCCGUAUCCAUAGUUCAAACAAAGAUGAGGCAAAGCUAGAUGCAUUCCUGAAGGAACCCAAGAAAUUCCUCUCUUUAUUUCUCUGGAAUGAAAUGAAUUCUCUAGACCACCAGUUCUAACCUUCAAAAACCAAACCUGUUUGUGAGAUCUCCUUCAAAUACUACUGUAGACCCCAGUGUUUAUUCAUUAAAUUUUUAAAAUAUUUGUUUUAUUUGGAAUCCAUGUAUUUGUAAUUUUAGUGUUUGUAUUAAUAUAAGGGAGAAAUGUUUAAAUCUGUCUAUGCCAUAUGUGCCUCUGGCUUAUUGCCCAAUUAAUUGUAGACUCAGGCUAAACUUUGGUUUCUGUCUUUAAUUUUUGUCAGAAGAAAUAUAACUGAUCUCAAAACA